rnacentral:rRNA from 1 species
AUUGAACGCUGGCGGCAGGCCUAACACAUGCAAGUCGAGCGGCAGCGGGAAAGUAGCUUGCUACUUCUGCCGGCGAGCGGCGGACGGGUGAGUAAUGCCUGGGGAUCUGCCCAGUCGAGGGGGAUAACAGUUGGAAACGACUGCUAAUACCGCAUACGCCCUACGGGGGAAAGCAGGGGACCUUCGGGCCUUGCGCGAUUGGAUGAACCCAGGUGGGAUUAGCUAGUUGGUGAGGUAAUGGCUCACCAAGGCGACGAUCCCUAGCUGGUCUGAGAGGAUGAUCAGCCACACUGGAACUGAGACACGGUCCAGACUCCUACGGGAGGCAGCAGUGGGGAAUAUUGCACAAUGGGGGAAACCCUGAUGCAGCCAUGCCGCGUGUGUGAAGAAGGCCUUCGGGUUGUAAAGCACUUUCAGCGAGGAGGAAAGGUUGGUAGCUAAUAACUGCCAGCUGUGACGUUACUCGCAGAAGAAGCACCGGCUAACUCCGUGCCAGCAGCCGCGGUAA